rnacentral:rRNA from 1 species
UACGGGGGGAGCAAACGUUGUUCGGAAUCACUGGGCGUAAAGGGCGUGUAGGCGGCUGGAUAAGUGGGAUGUUAAAUCCCCCGGCUCAACCGGGGACCUGCAUCUCAUACUGUUCAGCUCGAGCACAUCAGAGGAGACUGGAAUUCCCGGUGUAGCGGUGAAAUUCGUAGAUACCAGGUGGAACACCAGUGGCGAAGGCGGCCUUCUGGACGGUAACUGACGCUGAGACGCGAAAGCGUGGGGAGCAAACAGG